AACAUGCCAUGUCUCAUGUUGUGCUAAUCGAACCCAACAUGUUCUUUCAUGGGGUCGUGGUGGGGUCAUUGCAUGUAGAACAUGUAAUUACGCCGCUCUCUAUGACCCAAAAGUAAUAUAUAUAUUUCACAAUUUAAAUGUACUCGUGUCACUACAUCAUCGGUCUGGUCAAUGUUGACAGCUUCUUGGAGUCCUUGGGUAUAAGGCAUAUUUGCUGUGACAGUCAGCUUUACAGGAGAAAGGUGUUGUUGCUGUCCUGAAUGGACAUCUGGGAGGGUGAACACAGUCCAGUGGGUCCACAGAGAGGACUGUGCGGAGUGCACACAAACCAUAUCGUUUGGGAGAGGCUUCAUGAUGGAUGUCUCGCUAGCGUUCUUGCCAGCCAGCAGAACCUGGCUUCAGCAGCAAGUGUUCCCAUACUGGCCUGCUGUGGCGAGAUUGCAGAACACAUUUGUAUGUGCAGUGCAAUGGACAGUGUCUCUGACAGUUCAUGAAAGUCUUCUCCUUGCAAGGGUAUGAGGAUUGGAUCUGUGGUGUGGAGUGGGUGUAUUUAGGUGAGGACCACACCAGUGUUUAGCGAUCUGUUUCCUCACUGCCUUAUUUUACAUUUACAUUUUAGUCAAAAAUCUGUCUAAUAUCAGAGAUGUUAUGACAAAAUAUGUGGAAGUAUUUCUGGUAUAUGUGUAUUCAGCUGCCUACUUGAGUUGUGCAACCCACUCCAGAUGUACUCCAGCAGGAGUUCAGGCCUACAUCACAAAUGACACCCUAAGGGCUUAAUAUAGUGCACUAAUUUUGACUAGAACCCCAUGGGUCCUGGUCCAAAGUGGCGCACUAUAAUAAGGAAUGGUAUGCAGUUUGGGUUUCAGCCCAGGGUUUGUAAAAGCUAUUUCAUCUCCUUCACCAGCCCUCUCCACUGGACUCAUCCCACUCAGUCAAUGAACUACUCCAUCUGGGCGGCCAUUAGAGGUGGAGAGAGAUGUGUGUCCCAAAUGGCACCCUAUUUCCUUCAUAGUGCACUACUUUUGACCAGAGGCCUAUGGGAUGCAGUCAGAGAUUAAUUUAUAUGUACCAGCCCCAUAGGCUUUGCAAAAGUCCUCUCUCUCCAGUCUCUCUCUACUAUAAAACAAAAUUAAAAUCCAUCCUUUUAUGACUGGGGCAUUUGUUUAAUUCGAUUUGCAUUUGAACACUGAAGUCUUUCUAUAAUGCAUGAAAUGGGUGCAGCAGGGCCGAGUCAAUGCUUUCGUUCCACCCCUCUCUCUCAGAUAUACUGUAUCCUUCAAGCAGCAUGGCUCCGCAGCCCUGUCUUUGAGUUCAGCUGGUGGUCUUUUUAAUUCCAACUUUUGGAAGAUACGGUUCAACCAAGGUUCUGACACUCUGUGGUCACUGAAGUUUCCCUCUUGUUGCAGGAAUAGGGGUGUUAACCCUGGUGUCCUGGCAAGUCCCAACCUGGCCCUCUUAUACUACCAUGGCCACCUAAUCACCCCCUUCCUUUCAAACCCCUCCUCUCCCUGUUACUCUUCCCCAGGUGGCCUUAGUUUUAAGAAGUUGUGUGUUCUCUUCUCAGCCAUCUUAUCUAGAGUGAAUCUGAAAUGGCACCUUAAUCCCUCUGGAGUGAACUCCUUUUGAUCAGAGCCCAAAUGUGCACUAGGCCUAUAUAGGGAAUAUAUACAAUUAAAGUGAUCAUGCACUGUUUACCAGGGGGCAAAGCUACCGAUGUUAAGGCUAAUCUGAAGAUGGUGCUGGCUAAAGCUAAAACUGGUGAGUGUAGAGAGUAUAGAGAUAUUGUUAUCCACGUCGGCACCAACGAUGUUAGGAUGAAACAGUCAGAGGUCACCAAGCACAACAUAGCUUCAGCGGGUAAAUCAGCUAGAAAGAUGUGUCGGCGUUGAGUAAAUGUCUCUGGCCCCCUCCCAGUUAGGGGGAGUGAUGAGCUCUACAGCAGAGUCUCACAACUCAAUCGCUGGUUGAAAACUGUUUUCUGCCCCUCCCAAAAGAUAGAAUUUGUAGAUAAUUGGCCCUCUUUCUGGGACUCACCCACAAACAGGACCAAGCCUGGCCUGUUGAGGAGUGAAGGACUCCAUCCUAGCUGAAGGGGUGCUCUCAUCUUAUUUACGAACAUAGACAGGGCUCUAAACUCCCCAAGCUCCACAAUGAAAUAAGGUGCAGGCCAGGCAGCAGGCUGUGAGCUUAGUGGAGUCUGCCACGAGCACAGUCAGUGUAGUCAGCUCAGCUAUCCCUAUUGAGACCGUGUCUGUGCCUCGACCUAGGUUGGGCAAAACUAAACAUGGCGGUGUUCGCCUUAGCAAUCUCACUAGAAUAAAGACCUCCUCCAUUCCUGCCAUUAUUGAAAGAGAUCGUGAUACCUCACAUCUCAAAAUAGGGCUACUUAAUGUUAGAUCCCUCACUUCAAAGGCAGUUAUAGUCAAUGAGCUAAUCUGAUCAUAAUCUUGAUGUGAUUGGCUUGACUGAAACAUGGCUUAAGCCUGAUGAAUUUACUGUGUUAAAUGAGGCCUCACCUCCUGGUUACACUAGUGACCAUAUCCCCUGCGCAUCCCGCAAAGGCGGAGGUGUUGCUAACAGUUACGAUAGCAAAUUUCAAUUUACAAAAAAAACAGACGUUUUUGUCUUUUGAGCUUCUAGUCAUGAAAUUUAUGCAGCCUACUCAAUUACUUUUUAUAGCUACUGUAUAUAGGCCUCCUGGGCCAUAUACAGCGUUCCUCACUGAGUUACCUGAAUUCCUGUCGGACCUUUUAGUCAUAGCAGAUAAUAUUCUAAUUUUUGGUGACUUUAAUAUUCACAUGGAAAAGUCCACAGACCCACUCCAAAAGGCUUUCGGAACCAUCAUCGACUCAGUGGGUUUUGUCCAACAUGUCUCUGGACCCACUCACUGUCACAGUCAUACUCUGGACCUAGUUUUGUCCAUUGGAAUAAAUGUUGUGGAUCUUAAUGUUUUUCCUCAUAAUCCUGGACCAUCGGACAACCAUUUUUAUUACGUUUGCAAUCGCAACAAAUAAUCUGCUCAGACCCCAACCAAGGAGCAUCACGUCAUGCUAUAAAUCUCAGACAACUCAAAGAUUUCUUGAUCAAAUCAAAUGGAUUUAUAUAGCCAUUUUUACAUCAGCUGAUAUGUUGAUGCCCUUCCAGACUCUGCUUACCCAAAGAUGUCAGAGGACAAAAAUCAGUUAAUCACCUAACUGGGAAACUCAAUUGAACCUUGCGCAAUACCCUAGAUGCAGUUGCACCCCUAAAAACUAAAAAGAUUUGUCAUAAGAAACUAGCUCCCUGGUAUACAGAAAAUACCCGUGCUCUGAAGCAAGCUUCCAGAAAAUUGGAACGGAAAUGGCGCCACACCAAACUGGAAGUCUUCUGACUAGCUUGGAAAGACAGUAACGUGCAGUAUCGAAGAGCCCUCACUGCUGCUCGAUCAUCCUAUUUUUCCAACUUAAUUGAGAAAAAUAAGAACAAUCUGAAAUGUAUUUUUGAUACUGUCGCAAAGCUAACUAAAAAGCAGCAUUCCCCAAGAGAGGAUGGCUUUCACUUCAGCAGUAAUAAAUGAGGAAAAGAUCAUGAUCAUUAGAAAUCAAAUUACGGACUUGUCUUUAAAUCUGCGUAUUCCUCCAAAGCUUAGUUGUCCUGAGUCUGCACAACUCUGCCAGGACCUAGGAUCAAGGGAGACACUCAAGUGUUUUAGUACUAUAUCUCUUGACACAAUGAUGAAAAUAAUCAUGGCCUCUAAACCUUCAAGCUGCAUACUGGACCCUAUUCCAACUAAACUACUGAAAGAGCUGCUUCCUGUGCUUGGCCCUCCUAUGUUGAACAUAAUAAAUGGCUCUCUAUCCAUCGGAUAUGUACCAAACUCACUAAAAGUGGCAGUAAUAAAGCCUCUCUUUAAAAAAAAAACCUUGACCCAGAAAAUAUUUUUUUAAACUAUCGGCCUAUAUCGAAUCGUCCAUUCCUCUCAACAAUUGUAGAAAAAGCUGUUGCGCAGCAAGUCACUGCCUUGUAUACCAUACCAUACCAUACUAUUUCGUAUACCAUGUAUACGAAAUGCUUCAGUCUGGUUUUAGACCCCAUCAUAGCACUGAGACUGCACUUGUGAAGGUGGUAAAUGACCUUUUAAUGUCAGACCGAGGCUCUGCAUCUGUCCUUGUGCUCCUAGACCUUAGUGCUGCUUUUGAUUCCAUCAAUCACCACAUUCUUUUGGAGAGAUUGGAAACCCAAAUUGGUCUACACGGACAAGAUCUGGCCUGGUUUAGAUCUUAUCUGUCGGAAAGAUAUCAGUUUGUCUCUGUGAAUGGUUUGUCAGCUGACAAAUCAGCUGUACAUUUCGGUGUUCCUCAAGGUUCCGUUUUAGGACCACCAUUGUUUUCACUAUAUAUUUUACCUCUUGGGGAUGUCAUUCGAAAACAUAAUGUUAACUUUCACUGCUAUGUGGAUGACACACAGCUGUACAUUUCAAUGAAACAUGGUGAAGCCCCAAAAUUGCCCUUGCUAGAAGCCUGCAAACUUUCUACUUUUAAACUCGGACAAAACAGAGAUGCUUGUUCUAGGUCCCAAGAAACAAAGAGAUCUUCUGUUGAAUCUGACAAUUAAUCUUGAUGGUUGUACAGUCCCUCAAAUAAAACUGUGAAGGACCUCGGCGUUACUCUGGACCCUGAUCUCUCUCAUUUGACGAACAUAUCAAGACUGUUUCAAGGACAGCUUUUUUUCAUCUACGUAACAUUGCAAAAAUCAGAAACUUCCUGUCUAAAAAUGAUGCACAAAAAUUAAUCCAUGCUUUUGGUACUUCUAGGUUAGACUACUGCAAUGCUCUACUUUCCGGCUACUCGGAUAAAGCACUAAAUUAACUUCAGUGACUGCUAAAUACGGCUGCUAGAAUCCUGACUAGAACCAAAAAAAUUGAUCAUAUUACUCCAGUGCUAGCCUCCCUACACUGGCUUCCUGUCAAAGCAAGGGCUGAGUUCAAGCUUUUACUGCUAACCUACAAAGCAUUACAUGGGCUUGCUCCUACCUAUCUUUCCAAUUUGGUCCUGCUGUACAUACCUACACGUACGCUACGGUCACAAGACGCAGGCCUCCAAAUUGUCCCUAGAAUUUCUAAGCAAACAGCUGGAGGCAGGGCGUUCUCCUAUAGAGCUCAAUUGUUAUGGAAUGUUCUGCCUACCCAUUUGAGAGACGCAGACUCGGUCUCAACCUUUAAGUCUUUACUGAAGACGGGCUGUGCUUUACGGGCUGUGCUUUGGCAAAGUGGGGUGGGGUUAUAUCCUGCCUGUUUUGCCCUGUCCGGGGGUAUCGUCGGACGGGGCCACAGUUUCUCCCGACCCCUACUGUCUCAGCCUCCAGUAUUUAUGCUGCAGUAGUUUAUGUGUCAGGCGGCUUGGGUCAGUCUGUUAUAUCUGGAGUAUUUCUCCUGUCUUAUCCGGUGUCCUGUGUGAAUUUAUGUAUGCUCUCUCUAAUUCUCUCUUUCUCUCUUUCUUUCUCUCUCGGAGGACCUGAGCCCUAGGACAAUGUCUCAGGACUACCUGGCAUGAUGACUCCUUGCUGUCCCCAGUCCACCUGGCUGUGCUGCUGCUCCAGUUUCAACUUUUCUGCCUGCGGCUAUGGAACCCUGACCUGUUCACCGGACGUUCUAUCUGUCCCAGACCUGCUGUGAACUACUGUGAUUAUUAUUAUUUGACCAUGCUAGUCAUUUAUGAACAUUUGAACAUCUUGGUCAUGUUCUGUUAUAAUCUCCAACCGGCACAGCCAGAAGAGGACUGGCCAUCCCUCAUAGCCUGGUUCCUCUCUAGGUUUCUUCCUAGGUUUUGGCCUUUCUAGGGAGUUUUUGCUAUCCACCGUGCUUCUACACCUGCAUUGCUUGCUGUUUGGGGUUUUAGGCUGGGUUCCUAUACAUCACUUUGAUAUAUCAGCUAAUGUAAGAAGUGAUAUAUAAAUACAUUUCAUUUCAUUUGAAAGGGAUAGUUCACUCAUAUUUGUUUGUAUUUUGUUCAUUAGUCCACCCACAAAAUUGUGCAUGUCAGCAAUCAAGUUUCCAAGAUUGAGCACUUUCAGUACAGAGCAAAAACUGUAGUGAUGAUGAUGCAGUUCGAAUUGAGUGAACGAUCCCUUUAAAUGAAAAAUAUUUACGAAAUAAAAGCAAACUCAUUUCUACCUCCAUGCUGUACAGAGGGGGAUCUGUUAAGGCCAGCUGUGCUCAGGAUUGUCUGAUCCAUGUGUGGAUGUUGGUUGCUUCCAUCAGCAAGGGCAUUGAAGAUGAAAUGUGGCUGGGUCUUUCAGCAUGACAAUGAUCCCAACAUACCGCCCGGGCAACGAAGGAGUGGCUUCGUGAGAAGCAUUUCAAGGUCCUGGAGUGGCCUAGCCAGUCUCCAGAUCUCAACCCCAUAGAACAUCUUUGGAGGGAGUUGAACGUCCGUGUUGCCCAGCAACAGCCCCAAAACAUCACUGCUCUAGAGGAGAUCUGCAUGGAGGAAUGGGCCAAAAUACCAGCAGCAGUGUGUGAAAAGACUUACAGAAAACAUUUGACCUCUGUCAUUGCCAACAAAGGGUAUAUAACAAAGUAUUGAGAUUAACUUUUGUUAUUGACCAAAUACUUAUUUUCCACCAUAAUUUGCAAAUAAAUUCAU